rnacentral:rRNA from 1 species
AUUGAACGCUGGCGGCAUGCCUUACACAUGCAAGUCGAACGGCAGCACGGGAGCAAUCCUGGUGGCGAGUGGCGAACGGGUGAGUAAUAUAUCGGAACGUGCCCAGUAGUGGGGGAUAACUGCUCGAAAGAGCAGCUAAUACCGCAUACGACCUAAGGGUGAAAGGGGGGGAUCGCAAGACCUCUCGCUAUUGGAGCGGCCGAUAUCAGAUUAGCUAGUUGGUGGGGUAAAGGCCUACCAAGGCAACGAUCUGUAGUUGGUCUGAGAGGACGACCAGCCACCCUGGGACGUAGACACGGCCCCGACUCCUACGGGAGGCAGCAGUGGGGAAUCUUGGCCAAUGGGGGCAACCCUGAUCCAGCGAUGCCGCGUGGGUGAAGAAGGCCGUCGGGUUGUAAAGCCCUUUAGGCUGGGACGAAGGGUGUGGGACGAAUAAUCCUGCACUUUGACGGUACCAGCAGAAUAAGCACCGGCAAACUCUGUGCCAGCAGCCGCUGUAAAAC